rnacentral:misc_RNA from 1 species
AAGUCGUAACAAGGUUUCCGUAGGUGAACCUGCGGAAGGAUCAUUAUUGAAUACUGAAUCGGUUCUGAUGCUGGCCCUUCACUGGGCAUGUGCUCGUCCGUUCAUAUUUACCUUCUCUUGUGCACAUUUUGUAGUCCUUUUGGAACGAGUGAAUUUCGCGCCGCUGCGAUUAACUUCGCGGUGGUUGCGGUUUGGGGGAUUGGGUGUAACAGCCCUUCCUCUGUUUAUGCGCGUUGCUGCGAUUUACUUCGUGGUGACUGCGGUUUGGGGGUUGAGCGUCAGCACUUCCCCUGCCUUUGCUUUUUUCCAAGGCUAUGUUUUCAUAUACCCUAUACAAUGUUACAGAAUGUCUUUAACGAUUGUGCUUGGUCGCAGUCAUUAAACCUAUACAACUUUCAGCAACGGAUCUCUUGGCUCUC